rnacentral:rRNA from 1 species
AGAGGGUGCGAGCGUUAAUCGGAAUGACUGGGCGUAAAGGGCGCGUAGGUGGACUGUCAAGUCAUAGGUGAAAUCCCCGGGCUUAACCUGGGAACUGCCUGUGAAACUGACAGACUAGAGUAUGGGAGAGGGAAGUGGAAUUUCCGGUGUAGCGGUGAAAUGCGUAGAUAUCGGAAGGAACACCAGUGGCGAAGGCGACUUCCUGGCCUGAUACUGACACUGAGGCGCGAAAGCGUGGGCAGCGAACAGGAUUAGAUACCCUGGUAGUCCACGCCGUAAACGAUGAGAACUAGAUGUUGGGGGGGCUUUAUGCCCCCCCCCCCGAGUAUCGAAGCAAACGCGAUAAGUUCUCCGCCUGGGGAGUACGGCCGCAAAGGCUA